UUCGCUCUUCCUUUGCAAUACCUGCGUUAAAUAUAUAAAAAAGUGGGAUGAACGACAUAAAAUAGACCACAACAACUGAUAGGAUGCUGAGUCCAGGCCUUAGUCUAACAAGAGUUAGUUAGGAUAUUUCCUUAAUUUUAGGGAAUAUUCUGGUAUGAAAGAGAGGGAAUGGGAUUAGAGAAGGCAUUCAGAAAGUUUGUUAGAAAACAGUUAGGAGAGAUUUCUCUCUGGUUUAGGAGCUUAGCUCUGGAUUAGGAGUUCAUAGAACUCUGGUUUACUUUUCUUUUUCCGUUUUCACCAUGGGCUAGCAACUUGUGCAUCUCGUAUUCGUUCCUUCUGCCUUCUUUCUUAAGCUGGUAAUAAAUCAAAAUAUGCAUCAGAAGGCUUGUUACCAUCUUUCAUAACUAAUUCGUUUGUUGAAACAAUGUUUUGUUAAGGAUGUCAUAUGCUUUCUGAGACUAAUAAGAGUGAUUCCCUUGUCCCUCCACUAGUAGGAGUCAAAGUAUAGAUGAGACCAACAUCUAAUGGGAAUUAUAAUUCUAGAAGUUAAGAAAUAAUUACUCUCCAUAUAACACUAUAGAGAUUGUUAUAAAAGAAGGUUACGGGAAGUUUUCCCUUGUGCAUUGACCUGGAGAACUUCUUUUUCACGAGAAACUUUCCAUAACCGAAAUUGUUCAGACUCCUGCUUAAUCUUAUUCUGAAGAUGAACCUAAAGAAAAGAAACCAUCAACCAUGAGUAACAACCAAAAAGGAUUAAGGAAAUAAUUGGUUCCUCAGUGGCACCACAAGGCAGAGAGAGGCUACAUAUUGAGAUCUGCAAAAUCACUGCAAAUUAGCAUUGAGAUGCAAGAAUGACUAAUUCAACUCGGAUUCAAACAUGAUAUAGAAAAAGUUCAACUCUGCAUGUAUAUAGUGUCCCAUGAUAAUUGCACCUUUUGGGCUUUAAUUCUUUGGAUCUCAUCUUGAAGUUGUUUUGUAGCCUCAUCAGUCUUCUGUUUUUGUUUCAAGGCUUGAGUCUGAGCUUCUUGUUUUUUCUUCAGUUCAGAUACCUGUAAAGCAAUUAGUCA